rnacentral:lncRNA from 1 species
GAGGAAAGCUGCUCAUGGCAUAGCAGCCAGGAACCAGAGAGUGAAGGAAGGAGCUGGGAAGGGGGUUACACCCUUCCAGGUCACAGCCACCAUAACCUGCCUCUUCCAACCAGUCCCCACCUCCUAAGAGCAAGUCACUCCAUAAGUCAAUCACCUUCUAAACAUGUGAGGCUUUGAGGACCAUUUUAGAAAGUGAGAAAGAGAUUCAGACAUUGUUUCCCAUACUAGAGUGAACCCUGCCCCAAACCUCCCAACUUUGCCCUGGUCUCUUACACACUGUAACUGAAGACAGAAGCAGAGCCCAGGUGAUCAUCUGAAAGUGAGUUGAUUCGUUCAUGUUUCUGUGUCCCUAAGGUCAUCAUUUCUGUCAGCCAGCUGAUUGCAGAUGUUGUCGGCAUUGGGGGAACCAGAUUCCAGCAGUCGUUGUCUAUCAUUAACAACUGUGCCAACAGUGACCGGCUCAUCAAGCACACCAGCUUCUCGUCCGAAGUGAAAGAUUUGACCAAGAGGAUCCGCACAGUCCUCAUGGCCACAGCCCAGAUGAAGGAACAUGAGAAUGACCCAGAGAUGCUAGUGGACCUCCAGUACAGCCUGGCCAAGUCCUACGCCAGCACCCCCGAGCUCAGGAAGACGUGGCUCGACAGCAUGGCCAGGAUUCAUGUGAAAAAUGGGGAUCUCUCAGAGGCAUGUUCAAACAGGGAUGCACAGCCUUCAGGGUCAUUACCCCCAACAUCGAUGAGGAGGCCUCCAUGAUGGAAGAUGUGGGCAUGCAGGAUGUCCACUUCAACGAGCCCAAAAUGAAACAGUCAAGGAAAGCUUUUUAAUCCUGCCCAUCUUUUAAAGUUGUCCAGUUCUUCAUGUGGAGAAAAAGAACCAACAGAGAAAAGAGCACCUAUCUGUCCUCUGCCUGCAUUUUAUUAGCUUUCUUUCUCAAGGAUCAUGGUAUGGUUGCACACAGUUAAUAGUUCAUCUUUUAACCAUUUUUGUACCAGUAAGGAGGGCCUGUGACCAAACAUCUCCCAUGAUGUGAAGCAGUCCAUAAACUACUUGGUUUUCAAAAUGUGGUCCUGAACCUUUUCAUGAAGGCUUUGAGGUCCUUACUUUUCCAACCGAAUGUUUAUGUGAGUCUGGAUAUUUUUGUUUGUUUAUAUAUAUCAACCUAAGCAACAGUCAGACAGAUUUAAUGCAGAAGGUAUGAGAAUCCAGGUUCUCCUACAAAGUCAGACAUUAGAGUUGCAAAAAUGUAAAGCACGGCUACUCCUCAUUCUCCCUCUCUCCUUCUCUUCCUCCCUCCCUCCCUCCACCCCUUUCCCUUCCUCCUUUCCUCCUCUCUAUUUUUUUUAAAGUUUCUUUGAAAAAUACCAUUUUCUUUUUUUAUUCAUUAAUAUGUUCUUUACUUUAAAAUGUUAUUUUUUAAGAUAUAGGUUUCUUUUUAAUUACAUUAACAGAUCUUUUACAUCUUUUCAGUUUUCAUUUCUAAUAUUAUAAAUAUUGAGAGAAAAUACCCACAUAAACAAAAGUUCUUUGGAGUCCUUAAUAAAUUGUAAGAUAUGUAAAAGCUUAAGAACCACUGUUGUAAACUGUCUAGUCUCAAAUGGCCUUCAAAAUUAAAAACUAAAUAUGAACAAAGAAGGUAAUAUAUUGAGUGUACUUCAUAAAGUUUAAAUAUUAAGAUAAGUUUCACAACAAUAGAUAAAGUUUUCUAAUUAUCCUUUGGGGAAAUAAGCUGGUUAUUCCAUGGCAUUAACAGCCCUUCUGUCUCCCAUCUUGAAGUGGCUGGAUGGAUUGUGAUUUUUUUACUUCUUAUUCUCAAGUGUGAAACCUAUCUCUGAAGGAACAAAGCCCACAUGCUCUUGGCUUUCAGCUCCCCUCAAG